CAGCAGCCGCGGUAAUACGUAGGUGGCAAGCGUUGUCCGGAAUUAUUGGGCGUAAAGGGCUCGCAGGCGGUUUCUUAAGUCUGAUGUGAAAGCCCCCGGCUCAACCGGGGAGGGUCAUUGGAAACUGGGAAACUUGAGUGCAGAAGAGGAGAGUGGAAUUCCACGUGUAGCGGUGAAAUGCGUAGAGAUGUAGAGGAACACCAGUGGCGAAGGCGACUCUCUGGUCUGUAACUGACGCUGAGGAGCGAAAGCGUGGGGGGCGAACAGGAUUAGAUACCCCCGUAGUCCCUGUCUCUUAUAC
rnacentral:rRNA from 1 species